rnacentral:rRNA from 1 species
UACGUAGGGGGCAAGCGUUGUUCGGAAUUAUUGGGCGUAAAGGGUGCGUAGGCGGUUUGGUAAGUCUUGUGUGAAAUCUUCGGGCUCAACUCGAAGUCUGCACGAGAAACUGCCGGGCUUGAGUCCGGGAGAGGUGAGUGGAACUGCGAGUGUAGAGGUGAAAUUCGUAGAUAUUCGCAAGAACACCAGUGGCGAAGGCGGCUCACUGGCCCGGUACUGACGCUGAGGUGCGAAAGCGUGGGGAGCAAACAGG